rnacentral:rRNA from 1 species
UACGUAGGGGGCAAGCGUUGUCCGGAAUUAUUGGGCGUAAAGAGCGCGUAGGCGGUCCGGUAAGUCGGCUGUGAAAGUCAAGGGCUCAACCCUUGAAAGCCGGCCGAUACUGUCGGACUAGAGUCCGGAAGAGGCGAGUGGAAUUCCCGGUGUAGCGGUGAAAUGCGUAGAUAUCGAGAGGAACACCUGCGGCGAAGGCGGGUUGCUGGGCUGACACUGACGCUGAUGCGCGAAAGCCAGGGGAGCGAACGGG